CUUCAUUUCUGUGCCCCGAACAUGAGUUGGGAUACUUCUCGUCGCUUCGUAACCGGAGGAUUUGAUUUCUGUCAGUGGCCAGUGGGUAAUGGAGUCAAUCAAGGGAUAUUCUGCAGAAAAUCAUAAUACUGCAGUGUCUCAAAGCGCCAUUUCAGCUACUGCAGUUGCUCAGAUUCAUAUAUUAACUACAAUAAUUCAGCUCGUGGCAGUAACUCGGCAUCCCAGGUUCAUUUGAACAGCAACUUCUAUACAGUUUCUAGCUCUCUCUCUCUCUCUGUGCAGCAGCGUCUAAUUCAGUAUGACGAUGCAACAGCAGCCGCUCAGAUUCAUACAACAGCAAUGGCUCAGCUCCUGGCAGUAACUCAGCAGCACAGAUUCAUAUCAGCAGGUGCUUCCAAGCGUUUCUAGUUCUCUUGUAGUAGCAGUGUUUAGCUCGAGGUCUGGUGGUACUAUUGAAGGGUCUUUUCACUCGUUUGAUUUGGAAAAAAUGGUUGCUAACAAAGGUUCUUUGUGUCUGUGGGCUGCUCUUCAUCCAAGUCUGUCAACUAACAAGAUGUUACAACAUAGAGGAAUCCAGCUAAACUCAUAUUUGUGCAUUCUUUGCUACUCAAUUGUCGAGGAUCCUGAUCGUUUCUUCUUACGUCGCGAGUAUUCUUGGCAAACUUGGGGUUAGUGUUGUCUGUAGAUAUUGAUCCCGAGUAUGGUUAGUAUCAACACAGUUACUCGCAUUGCAUAGUUCUGAGAAUCUGACUUCAUAUUCAUUGUAUGCCCUGGUUUGAAGUCUUUGGCUUUUGCUUGAAAUUGAUGUGAUUUGACUGAGAAGCUGAGCAUAGAAGUUCCAAGGCGGCUCUCUUGGGAUCAGGUGGACCUCUAAUUCGAACAUCAAAGAUAAAUUCUGUCUAAUACAUCAACUGGGCAUUUGGUCUAGUGGUAUGAUUCUCGCUUUGGGUGCGAGAGGUCCCGAGUUCGAUUCUCGGAAUGCCCCUAUCCUAAUUCCGUAUUUUUUUCUUCUUUUUUUUGUUUUUCCAAUACAUGAAUGCAGAAAAGAAGAUUGGAACAAGAUUGAAAUUUCAAGAGGUCGGAACAGUUUAAGGAAAUCAUAAACUUUACUGAUAAUUUUUUUUGUUAAUUAAGUCGAUUGGGAGCUAAAUCAAUUGAAAAUAGAGUCUGCAGUGCAGUUAACUGAUCAG